rnacentral:sRNA from 1 species
CUCGAUCGUGUCAGUUUGUAAGGCGAGGGCGGAAGUUGGAUUCCUGGCCUGAGAAUAUUAGGCGUAGUUUUCCAGUUUUUGGCAAAGCGGAAAUACUUAAGGCCCCUGGGUUGACUGGGUUCUUUGUUUUAUCUACCGGCUUCUGCUUUACGACAGGUCACAAACAUGUCAGACAAAAGUGAAUUAAAGGCUGAGUUGGAACGUAAGAAGCAGCGACUGGCCCAAAUCAGAGAGGAAAAGAAGAGAAAAGAAGAAGAAAGGAAAAAAAAAGAAACAGAUCAGAAGAAGGAAGCUGUUGCUCCUGUGCAAGAAGAAUCAGAUCUUGAAAAAAAAAGGAGAGAAGCUGAAGCAUUGCUUCAAAGCAUGGGGCUAACUCCAGAAUCCCCCAUUGGUAAGGUUAAGAAUAUAUCCAUUUAUAAGAGAUAGGCAUAGAUUCUGUUCAGCUCAGACAUAGCUGAGUGGAUUGACUUGAUAUAUUUUACAUAUUUUCCUUGUGUCUCUAAAAUUAUUAAUCUUUUACUUGGAAUUGUCUUUUUUUCAGAUAUGCUAGUACAUGGUUAUUUUAUUUGUUCAAAAGAGCU